GUGACCCUGGGAACCCAAAACAUGGAGCCUUGCUUGACAAGAAUAUUUCUAAGAGUGAAAGAAAAAAUAUGGUUUCAACUGCUAGUAAAAGCCAUAUCAAGAAAAAGAGUUUGUGUGAUGCUCCCCUGUCAUCACCUGUUUCAAAGAAUGUCCAUGAAGGAAAAGAAGUAUGUGAAAAUUUCCAGCAAUCCAGUAAUGAUGAAAAUCAAGCCUUGCUUGCCAUCAGUAAUUCUGAGAGUCAAAAAGAAGUGGUUUCCACCGCUCCUAGAAGACAUAUCAAAGGAAAGCACCUGCAUAAUACUUCAC